CACAAGCUUCUACGGAAACCCUAAUCAGUGUCUAUGCUCUCCUUCGCUCCAGAGAAAGAUCUUGCGUCUCUUCACAUCUAUCUCCGGCGUUCGUUUCUGUAACCGGUGUAGUCAACGACAAAAGCAUUAACGCCUACUGCACCACGCCUACUGCAUCUUCCAAAGUAACCGACUGAAGCUUACCCUAUAAAUAUCUUCAUGGAUUGGGAUGAACAGCCAUACCGACUCGAAAUCCCAAAGAUCUCUCUCUGUGAAGCAUAAGAUCCAUCAACGGUGAAUUCAAUUACUCUUCUCGCAGAUUUGAACUUCCCCAACUUCCUGCAUAUAACAAAGGGAUGGCACAAAUCAUCUCCACUUUCUAUGAACUACUGAAGAACUACAGAGAAGCCAGCGAAGAACCCAAAGUUGCAGAUUUUCUGAUCGCCACUGACACCAAAGCUCCAGCGUAGCCAAACCUCCUCUCAGGGUACCACUAUCUUUUCCAUCAGCAGAUGGGCCGAUCGUCAUCCACUUCAAUUUCACCAACGAUCUUCCACCGCACUACCACUUUGUUCUCUUCGCCACCAUCUGUUCCAAUUCCCACCAGUUUGUACCAUGUUUUUGCUCAGUCCUUAACCAACAUUUCAUCUUCUGUUUAUCACUAUAUAAUCUGAUUUUUAGAAAUCUAAAAGGUUUAGGAACCGGGGCGCAUUUCUAUGGAACCAGAAUAACAUUUCAAGCUAUGAUUUCGAAACCACCCCAAUUUGAUUUCAGUGACGAUGCCCUAAUCGAUUGAAUUCUCAGUCUAAAAAAGAGUACAACGAAAGGAGGAAGAAGCGAGUCUCCUUUCACCAGAUUUACGUGCUCAACUGAUGAGACCUUUGAAGAGAUCACCCCUCAAACUUAUGCCUUUAAUAUACUUUUUGUGGACGUGGUUGUAGGUCUUUUCCAUCAAACAAAUUAGAAAUAGUUCCAUGUAGCUAAGAAGAUAUAUAAGGAACGACGAGCAGCCAUUACUGAGUUUGAGAUAUUCCGCAAUAACGGUACAUGGCUCUGGCAUGUUGUUGGAGCCGGGACUCAACAGUUUGUCGACAUGACUAACUUGUAGUAUUAGUUAAGCUACAACCAAUAUUUAUGCAAUAUAACUAAUCAAGUGUCACUAACCAAUGUUAACGCAAAUUAUUUUUGUUAGGUUCAUGGAUUCAUAGAAAAGGUUCCACCACGUGCUUGAUGCUUGUGGUGUGAAUAAAUAGCUGAAGAAUGUGGCUUUAAAGAAGGCGAUAGCGUGAUCAUAGAAGAGCUGGAGUUGGUGUGGCAUGACUCAACCAAUGGCUCGAACAAGACUAUGACACUCAGUUAGAUGGUCUCAAUGGAAAUGAAUCAUCUUAGUUCUUUUGCGGAGUGUUUCUUAUACUGACCCUCCAAGUGAAUCAGAUGCCUUUUCCAGUCAAUGAUUUGUGUACAUGUUUUUCCUACAAAUAUGUAUGUAGUCUUAAAUAGAACAGUUUCAGCUAGAAAUAAACUAAAUAAAAUUUUGUUUUCAU